rnacentral:rRNA from 1 species
AUUUCGCCCUUAGAGUUUGAUGGUGGCUCAGGAUGAACGCUAGCGGGAGGCUUAACACAUGCAAGUCGAGGGGCAGCAUUACCUUCGGGUAGAUGGCGACCGGCGGACGGGUGCGUAACGCGUAUGCAACCUGCCUUGUACAGGGGGAUAGCCCAUGGAAACGUGGAUUAAUACCCCAUAGGAUUAAAAAUCUGCAUGGAUUUUUAAUUAAAACUUCGGUGGUACAAGAUGGGCAUGCGUAUGAUUAGGUAGUUGGUGGGGUAACGGCCCACCAAGCCGACGAUCAUUAGGGGUUCUGAGAGGAUUAUCCCCCACACUGGUACUGAGACACGGACCAGACUCCUACGGGAGGCAGCAGUGAGGAAUAUUGGUCAAUGGGCGCGAGCCUGAACCAGCCAUCCCGCGUGCAGGAUGACGGCCCUAUGGGUUGUAAACUGCUUUUCUAUACCAAGAAUAGUCAUUACGAGUAGUGAUUUGCCGGUAGUAUAGGAAUAAGCAUCGGCUAACUCCGUGCCAGCAGCCGCGGUAAUACGGAGGAUGCAAGCGUUAUCCGGAUUCAUUGGGUUUAAAGGGUGCGCAGGCGGGUUUGUAAGUCAGUGGUGAAAUACUGCCGCUUAACGGUAGAACUGCCAUUGAUACUGCGAAUCUUGAGUAUGGUUGAGGUAGGCGGAAUGUGUUGUGUAGCGGUGAAAUGCAUAGAUAUGACACAGAACGCCGAUUGCGAAGGCAGCUUACUAAGCCAUUACUGACGCUGA